CCGUGCCGCAUCAUCCUGCGCCGCUCCGCCGCGAGCCCCCGACCUUGUCUCCCGCCUCCUCUGCCGCUCCACUCGCUCCGCUACCUCCUCCCCAGCCUCUCCAUCCGCUCGUCGCCGAGCUUCAGUAUCGCCGACGGCCCCGGCCGCCGCCUCUGCCUCUGGCUCCUCCACGGCGUCGAUCCAUGCCCCUCCGCGACCGCGACCACCGACAGGCGGCGGCGGUCAGGAGAGGCCGGAGGAAGCCGCAUAGGAAGAGUUAGAGGCUACAAAAAGAGGGCACAGCACUAAACCUACCUGUUAACCUCCAACACAGGAACAGGUUGUGGUUCGUUACCUCACGGGCUGGGCCUAAAGUCAACGGACGAUAUUCUUCCUCCCCAGGAGCCGGUUUUAGAGGUAGUCCAACGCAGGAACAUGGUAUUCGAGGUAGUUUCGGGCAACGUUAAAAACUGCUUUGCAGGUUACAGCAACGGCUCAAGUGGCCUCCUUCUUCGCGACUCAAGCGGCCUCCUUGUUCUUGUAGGCAGGUAGGCAGGUUACAGCGGACUGAGCCGAUGUGAUCUCUAUUGUGACACCUCAUCUCGGUAUACAACGACCACUGACUUUAACCAAGACAGCAUUAAGCGACUAACGAAGUCAAAUAGUCAGAUCGAUUCUCAAACAAAAGACGCUUACCAAAUCGUACCGACUCACUAUACACAAAUGAAGUGAUUAAGUAUUCUUAAUAAAAGAGAACGGUCGAAGUCGACGUCGUCGUAGAACGGACGUAGUAUAUAAAACAUAAUACAAUAACACCCAUACGACUAAGACUUAAAGAGGCAUAACGGCUGAAGCGGCCUUAAUGCAGGCGGACACAUCGGUUCCAACUCUUGACUACUACCUGCUGCAUUGUCGACAAUUUCUCCUCUAAUUUCCUGCCUUCUACCGUCGUCUCCUCCUCGGACUUCGACUUUUACCUACUGUUGUGAAUUAGCUAGUAACAACUCCUAAAACUUUGGGCUGGAAGUAUUUCUUUCGUUUUACAAGACUUAGCCCACAAAACUUUACCUCCAAAUUGAAAUAAACAUUCCGGGCGAGCCAUGCAGGUGGGACUCCGUAGCGGUAGAUGUACCACCUUCUCCAAGCAGUGACACCUGUUGUAGUCGCCGCUGCAACAAAGGUUAUGCGUCGUUCACGCGCUGAAGCCACUCCCACGUGUUCCAAAGACGUACAGGGAGUUCAAGGACGGGGGUAUGGCAGCGAGAGCGGUCAGUGUCGGCCUUCGAACCUUGGUGCCGGACGAGACUUGCUCAGAGGUAGACUACAUACCAUGAAACGGUUCCAGUUCCUCAUCGAAGGGCGUUUUUUUUUUUUCCAAGUUCCUCAUCGUGGUCGUGGAGACUUCGUCGUCGUUUUCCUAGUUUUGGUGUAAGAAGUCGUAGGAUGAGCCGUUUUUUUCCCGCUUUUCUGACUGAAGGUCUUUUUUUUGUACUUCUUAAGAAGUUCGUGGUCUGACUCUGUCUAAGGAACUCUUCACGCGAACUAUUAUAGUCCACCAGUCCAAGAAAAGAUUCAACUCCAUCCCAACGGAGAAGUUAGACACUAUAAGUUUACUCUCCCUUUACUUAUAUAUCUCCUUAUAUUAAUCUUAUGUAAUAAUCGUUGGAGGUUUAAAAAUAGUACAGAGUACCGGUCAAGUUAUGAAGAAAGAACUACGUUGCCGACUAUAUACCAACAAAAGGUACCGAUACAAUCAUUUGAAAAUACGUUUAAAUAUAAUAAGAGAAUAAGUGAUUACUAAUAUGACCCUGCGAG
rnacentral:rRNA from 1 species